rnacentral:rRNA from 1 species
UACGGAGGGAGCUAGCGUUUGUUCGGAAUUACUGGGCGUAAAGCGCACGUAGGCGGCUUUGCAAGUUAGAGGUGAAAGCCCGGGGGCUCAACUCCGGAAUUGCCUUUAAAACUGCAUCGCUAGAGUUGUGGAGAGGUAAGUGGAAUUCCGAGUGUAGAGGUGAAAUUCGUAGAUAUUCGGAAGAACACCAGUGGCGAAGGCGACUUACUGGACACAUACUGACGCUGAGGUGCGAAAGCGUGGGGAGCAAACAGG